GGAACUUUUAGAAGAUUCCCUGUUUGAGCAGAGAGAGCUCUUCCCCCAGCAGAAGGAUCCCCUGGCUGACCCUGGUGUGCCCCCUGCCCUGGUGCAGAGAAGGCAGCUCGGUGUCCCCAUCCCAGGUUGGGGAAGAAUCCUUGAGCCGGAACUUGGCGCCGCAUCCAGAGCCUCACGACAGGAGCUGUGCCUCGAGUGGAGACUUCUGGAGCUGUGAGGAAAACAAGAUUAAAGAAGAAAUCUUUGGCAAUGGAGUGCUACAACAACUGAACUGCUGACUUUUUUCAAUGGAUAUAUUAAAGAUAUUAAGCUGAGAAGGAUCAUAAUGGAAAGUGACACUGAAAAAUCACAGGUUGUGCAUUAAAGUCCUGAGAUGCCAUCAGUUUUGGGGAGAAAUCUCUAUCAAGGUCGUUCUGUUUGCUGCAUCAGUCGCUCACUUACAUUGGGGGGACCCCGCAGCGCACGGCGGUGCCUUGAGAUGCCAAUUACUCUGAUUUGGAAUUUUGUGUACAGUAAUUAAAGAGCCAGGUAGCAGCAGACAUGUGUUACCCCGAGAUAACACGCUCCUUGGAAGGUUCAUGAGGCAGGAGGUGAAGUGAGUGCCUCCAGUGACCUGGGGAAGGCAUUUAUCUCAGCGCUGCACGAGCUGGGGGGGCACUGCCACUGUGCACCAGCUAUCAGCACUAUCAGCUGCACUGUGAUUGAUUGCAGCAUGUCAAACAGAUGUUUAAAACAUGUUCAGCCUUGUGCAUCAUGUGAUAAUUAAGUCUGACUCUGAAGGACCAAUGUAUCAGGUGUGAGGAGAUAGGAGCGUGAAGUGUUUGGGUUUGGUUUUUUUGUUUGCACUGGGAUACGCAUGACUGGCAAAAGUGAUCUUGAAAGGGACUUUGAGCUCCAGAGUGCCACAGCUUCAGCAAACCCAACAUCCAUAAUGCAGGAGAGUGCUCGCAUGGAACUGGCUCAAGUGGAGCUUUCAGAGCUGGUGUGUAUUAUUCCUUUUUUUCACAAAUGUGGGUGUGCACGAGCAUGUGUUUGCACACCCAGAGUGAUCUCCACGGUGUUUAUUUUUACCCCCUGCCCAGUGCUGUGAAUUAUUUCAUUCUUCAGGUGACUGACAGGCAACGAUUUUCCAGCAGCACAGAGCAGCCUGGCACUGUCCCUGGGAUGAGGGCUGGCUGCUCAGCACAGCCCUGGCAGACAAAGGGCUUUGUGCUGCCUGCUCUGCCCACAUCACACCCAGGAGAAAGGUCUAUCUUUAAUCUGGGCUGCUCGGGAAAUCAAAGCGGGGGGAUUAAAACAAGAGCAGUGACUGAUUUCCGUAGGAGAUCGCUUUCCUGUUUCAUUUGAUAGAAUGAACAGCAGAAUCAAAGCAAGGUUAGAAGCCCCAUGUACCUUUUUUUUUUUUCCCAGCAAUUUUUGUGGUGUCAGUUCACAAGGUAUUAUAAUAAUGGAACACAUGUGCGAUAAUGAUUUUAGAAAUUUUCCUUCUUUUUUUACCUUAGAACAAUUUACAUAUAGAUGCUCUGGCAAGGUGUGUGCCUUCUGAGUCAUCAGGCUAGUAGUUAAACAUGUUAAAGCUGAUUAAAUCUGCAGCUGUUUGUUUCUUUGCAUUCUUUUGAUCUCUGCUAAAAAUAGCCCCAGUGCCUUCAUAAGGACUAAAUUUCAAAGGUAUGGUGGGAUGUUGCUUCAGCCCUGGAUUUGAACAGCCAAUAAUGAACAGCAAAAAUCUGGUUUGUGCUCAGAGGAAAGAACAGUGAGAGGAAGGCAGGAGCUGUGGAAGAGUCCCCAAGCUUGGCUGGGCUGCCAAGUGCUUUGUCAGGGAGGGAAAUGUUGUGCCCUUUACUGGCAAUGCCCCCCUACAAGUGAAAUGUACUUCUCUCAUGUGUUUUAGAUAAACUGGUGAAUUUUUUCCCCCUUCUUUUUUUUUUUAUAUCUGUAAAAUGAGGUUAAGGUGGCAGUGUAAGAUCUCGGCUUAUUCUGUGCUGGCUUUCUUUGCACUUCAGUGGAAUCACCAUGGGAUGGUGAUAUCCAGCUCUGCAUUGCUGCUAUUUCUCACUUUAAUGACCCUGGUAAAUCUUUAAUGAUUGCCAUCACUGUCAGAAGGGCACAAAGGGCCCUCAUCUGUCUUGAUGCAACCUAAGAAAAUAUGCUCACAGAUGUCAGUUAAAAUAAUGGCAUUGGUGGUAGGUCACUUGGAUUUUUAUGGGUACCCACCUCUUCUUGCAAAAAGCAGCACAGGAAUCCCACUCUUAAUCAUUAUAAUCACUUAAAAAACCCAAAUGUCCAUGUCUUAGGUUUUGGGGCUUUUUUAUUAACUAGGGCAGCACAUUCCAGACAAAAAGAAUUGACACAGGCACUUCACAGGAAUGGGUCUCCUAAUUUCUGUAUUCCAGAGCAGCUGAGACAUAAGAUCUUAUUUUAAAUUAGGCAUUUCCAAGUGUGAGAUUUUCACCCAAAACUUUGCUUGAAAGUCCCUGUUAGAAGAAUCCAUUCAACAUCAGAACAAAGCUUUUUCCACCACUCAAGCAUUGUUUCAUCACGAGUGAUUUCCCUGUCAUAGCAUAGCCUUUAAGACAUAAUUCUCUCAAAUUAUGGGGUGUGCUAGCAACCCUGAGAGUCAGAAACUGGAUAUACACAUCUCCUGCUCUCAUUAAUAGCACUUGCCUGCCUAAUUCACUGAGCAGCACAGAGAAGAUGGAGCCCUGUGGGUCAACAGCAAUGGAUUCAAUGAGGUCUUCACCUUCUAAAAAUGUCAUUAGUGGGAGUAAGAGCUGGCUGUGGGCCCUGGUGUUUGCUACAGCCCUCUGGAGAACAUAAAUCUGACACAGAGGUGCUCAGGCUUGCCUGGGGAAGCUCCCACCCAUUGUUCCAUUGGCUACCACUCUCGUUCACUCUAUUUCUGCUGUGUCACCAGCUCAUCCGAGUGUAGGGACAGACACUGAGGCCUUGCCUCCUGUCUGCACCCUUCCCAGAAUUAAAUGCUCAUGCUAAGCUAACUCACGUCUUUAAAUGAGUUCAGUUCCCACCAAAAUUUGUCCCCAUAUAGUUUUUCAUGCCUGGUUCAGCUGCAAGGCUCACACUGGGUUUGCAGGUUGAUCUGGACAAGGAGAAGGUUUUUCUGGUCAUCUCUAAAGCAGGGACUUGAUAGCACUUCUGCUUAGUGGUGAUGGAGUGUGGGAUCAGAUUAAUGUGUCUCCUGGAGCUGGGUAUUUUUGUUUUCCUUAUUAUAAUGUACUCAACUACAUAUUAAAUCUAAUUUUUUCCUGCUUUCCACAGAAAUGUCAAGGCACUCUAUCUCCAAACCUGAUCAGUAAAAUGGGGAUGUAUUUAAGAACCCUUCUUCUUGGGAUGUUGUUCAAAACAGAAAAAAACUUGAGAACUUUUCUGCUGUGUGUGGUAGUUAAUAUUUGAAUCCAUUUAACAUCCAGAGCCUGACAUUAGGAAAGUGUGGAUGACCUAGAAAACCACAAUGUAAUCUUAUUUAAAAAAACCCAAAGUACUCAAGCUCUAAUAAAUCAUUAUUUUAUUCAUAAACCAUAUAUUCAUAGCAGAUUUUAUUACACUUCUAUGCUCACCUAACUUUGUAGUCUCUUUUGAUUUUCUUUUUGUCUGUAGUUAUUUUCCACUUCUAAGACAUUUGAUCUGUGUUUUCCUUUAGACCUCUGCCUCUUUGUAUAGAUUACUAGAAAGGAGCUCAAUUACAAUUUUGUCUCUGAUGUGGAUAUUUCUUUAUUGAAGGUUGUACAAAGGCAUCCUUUCUCAAGCUCCAUU